rnacentral:rRNA from 1 species
UACGUAGGGACCGAGCGUUGUCCGGAAUCAUUGGGCGUAAAGAGCGUGUAGGCGGCCACUUAAGUCCUGCGUGAAAUCUUGCGGCUCAACCGCAAGCGGUCGUGGGAAACUGGGUGGCUAGAGUGCGGGAGAGGAGAGUGGAAUUCCUGGUGUAGAGGUGAAAUUCGUAGAUAUUGGGAAGAACACCGGUGGCGAAGGCGGCUCUCUGGACCGAGACUGACGCUGAGGCGCGAAAGCGUAGGGAGCGAACAGG